rnacentral:lncRNA from 1 species
GAGGAGGAGGGGGCGCUCUCACUUCAUCGGAUCGGCGUGCCUGUGUUGUCUGCGGGUUCGCUUUUGUUUUUGGUUUUGUUUCUUUUUUUAUCGGCUCAAGCUAAAUAAGAUUCGGGGGCGGUCCGUCGCCAUGGGAUUUGGAAUGGGGAAUAACGGGGCGAGCUCGUCGUCGUCGCGGCUGGACCCCGCGCCGCUCCUGCCGCACCACGGCGUCGCGAGCGCCGAGAUCGGGCUGUCGUCGCAGCCCAAGACGUUCGCCAACGUCUUCAUCGCGGUGGUCGGCGCCGGCGUGCUGGGGCUGCCGUACACCUUCUCGCACACGGGGUGGGCGGCGGGGUCGCUGCUGCUCUCCGCCGUCGCCGGGCUCACCUUCUACUGCAUGAUGCUGCUCGUCGCGUGCCGCCGCCGCCUCGCCGACGAGCACCCUAAGAUCGCCUCGUUCGGGGACCUCGGGGACGCCGUGUUCGGCGCGCACGGGCGGUUCGCCGUGGACGUGAUGCUGGUGCUCAGCCAAGUGAGCUUCUGCGUCGGGUACCUCAUCUUCAUCUCCAACACGCUGGCGCACCUCUACCCGAUAUUCGCGCCGUCGUCCUCCGCCCUCCUCUCCCCCAAGGCGCUCUUCAUCUGGGCGAUGCUGCCGUUCCAGCUCGGGCUCAAUUCCAUCAAGACGCUCACGCUGCUCGCGCCGCUCAGCAUCUUCGCCGACGUCGUCGACCUCGGCGCCAUGGGGGUGGUCCUCGGCCAGGACGUCGCUGCGUGGCUCGCCAAGCCCCCACCCGUGGUCGCCUUCGGCGGCCCGGGCGCGCUCCUCUACGGGCUCGGCGUCUCCGUGUACGCGUUCGAGGGCAUCGGCAUGGUGCUGCCGCUGGAGGCGGAGGCGGCGAACAAGAAGAAGUUCGGCGUCACGCUGGGGCUGUCCAUGGCGUUCAUCGGCGUCAUGUACGGGCUGUUCGGCGUGAUGGGGUACGUCGCGUUCGGCGACGCCACGCGGGACAUCAUCACCACCAACCUCGGCGCCGGGUGGCUGUCGGCCGCCGUGCAGCUGGGGCUGUGCAUCAACCUCUUCUUCACGAUGCCGGUGAUGAUGAACCCCGUGUACGAGGUCGCCGAGCGUCUGCUCCACGGCAAGCGCUACUGCUGGUGGCUCCGGUGGCUGCUCGUCGCCGCCGUCGGGCUCUCCGCCAUGUACGUGCCCAACUUCACCGACUUCCUGGCGCUCGUCGGGAGCAGCGUAUGCGUCCUCCUCGGGUUCGUGCUGCCGGCCUCCUUCCACCUCAAGGUGUUCGGCGCCGAGAUGGCCUGGCCCGGGGUGCUCUCCGAUGUCCUCCUGGUCGUGCUCGGCCUCGCGCUUGCCGUGUUCGGCACGUACACGUCGCUGCUGCAAAUCUUCCACUCGUCCAGCGUCUGAUCUCCACCAUGGCACGCAUUUGCUAUGCGCCGAGCAAAUUCAUCCUCGGCGCAUUAGUUUCAGGU